rnacentral:rRNA from 1 species
AGCAUUAUGAAGAUAUAUAAAGUGAGACCUGCCCAGUGAUUAUUUCAACGGCCGCAGUACCUUGACUGUGCUAAGGUAGCAUAAUAAUUUGACUUUUAAUUGAAGCCUUGUAUGAAAGGAUUAAUGGAUAGUCUCUGUCUCUAAAUAAUUUAUUUAAAGUUACUUUAAAAGGUGAAAAUACCUUUAAUUUUUUUAUUAGACGAGAAGACCCUAGGAGUUUAUUUAUAUAAAUAUUAAUAUUUUGUUGGGGCGACAUUACAGCAGCAUUAUAACCUGUAGAAGUUUUAAAAACUUAACGAAAAAUUUUAAUUAAGAUUAAACUACCCUAGGGAUAACAGCAUAAUUUUAUUUUAAAGUUUGUGACCUCGAUGUUGGACUAGGAAUUUUUAAUAUUAACAGUAUUAAAAUAAUGUUCUGUUCGAACAGUAUUUCCUACAU